AAGUCGUAACAAGGUUUCCGUAGGUGAACCUGCGGAAGGAUCAUUUCCGAGUCCCGUGCCCCCCGUGGCCGGUCCUCCCACCCGUGCCUAGUGUGCCCUGUUGCUUCGGCGGUUCCCCCGCCGAGCGCCAUCCUUAAGCUCUUGUUGCCGUGUCGCGUCGUCCGAGCACACUGUCGAUUGACGAACAAAAAAAAACUUUCAACAACGGAUCUCUUGGUUCUG
rnacentral:misc_RNA from 1 species